CUGACCCCGACAUCACCAAAACGCUUUUGCGCAUGCGCAGCCCCGCUGCGAACUGGUAGUAAAGGCAUUUGUAAUAUGACAUACAAAUACUUAUGCGCACCCAGUUAUUUAAACCAAUCUUCUCCAAUUUAGUAAAGGGCCUGCAUAUCUGAGGAAUCGAUUGUCUUCAAUCAUUUCUGUACACCAAGCAUAUUCCAGCAGAGUAGGUGUCUCUCAGCAGCUAUACAAGAAACUACAACAGCAACAAACAUAACACGGGCCAAGGAAACCAUGCAGCAUCAAAAUAAUAUGGGGUCAACUACUUUUCUUACCUGUGUCAGGCUAGCAGGGUCAGGCUAGGCGGUAUGGUAUUCUACAAGCACCGUGACAGGCAAGGCCUAUUCUUCCGAAUCCUGCAAGAUGACAUUUUCUAAUCAAUGGCACCCUAAGCAAGCACCUACUACUAAAUCUAAUCAGAUGAGUAAAAACAAAUGCGUAAAGGGCUGAAAAACUGAAGAAGUUCUCUAUAGCAAAGAAAAAAAAUGCAGAAAAUCCAUGUGUCCAUUUCAUAUCUGAAUGACAAAAGCUUAGCAGUUUCUCCCACAUGGAAUUUCAGAUGUGUUGAACUUCUGGCCGAGCAACCACUGUCCUUAUUUCUCUCUGUUAUACUGUUUUGUAAGGAUGGGCAGCAGUUUGGAUUCAGUCUCUAAAAAGUGCUUUUAAAUGUAGAGGAGCACAAACAUAAUACCUCUCUGCAGUCCCUUAAAGCAGCCACCCCUUUUCCCUCAGAUUGCAUGGCUGGACAGUCAGAAUAGGAGGUGGUCCUCAAAGCUUUCCCCUUUUGUCCCAUUAAAUAAUGUAUUCUUGGCCUUGGUGCCUGACGGAUUCCCUUGACUUUUUCGUGUAUAAAUUUAAAAAAUAAAGUAGUUUAUUAGUUUAGCAUUCUUCAAAGUCUGAUGUUAAUUUCUAAAUAACCUUUCUGGCUAAAAAAAUAUUUCUAGCUUCUUGCUCAUGAAUCUUCUUUUAAAAAAUAAAAAAAAAAAUAUGGCUGGCUGCAGCCCGGUGUUUGAAAAGCUCAAUCUGAGCAGAAAACAAGAAAUAUGGAAGAUGUAAGGAACCGGUCAGUUCUAGAGGAGAUCAACCCUGACUGUUCUUUAAAAGGUCUGAUCCUGAAGAUGAAACUCAAAUACUUUGGCCACCUAAUGAGAAGGAAGGACUCACUGGAGAAGAGCCUAAUGCUGGGAAAGAUUGAGGGCAAAAGAAAAAGGGGAUGACAGAGAAUGAGGUGGCUGGAUGGAGUCACUGAAGCAGUAGGUGUGAGCUUAAAUGGACUCCAAAGGAUGGUAGAGGACAGGAAGACCUGGAGAAACGUUGUCCAUGGGGUUGUGAUGGGUUGGACAAGACUUCGGAACUAAGAACAAAAAGGAACAUCCUGGAGAAUUAAGUGGGUGGCAUCCUUACAGGGUUGUUUUGGAUAAGUGGAGGAUUUUUGGAAGCUGCUUAUGUACCAUGGCAGCCAGUUUCUGAAUAUGUGAGCUUUCCCAUAGAAGCUGCUUUAUGAGAGUACAAUCAUCCUUUCCUCCAAAUUCCAAAUAUAUUCACUGGCUUCAAAGUUUGAGAAAGAUCUAGCCACUACAUCACGCUAGUCUUCAAGAGAAAAGAAAAUAGAAGAUGUGCUUUGCCUUCUUGUGUACAUUGUCUGAUAUAAGGGUUUCUUAUAUUUAUUUAUGGUUUCAUCAGAUAAUUGUUUGUUGUGUUAGACAAACAUAAUAUUUGUUAUAUUAAACCCAAGCUUUUAAAGCUGUCCUGAUUUAACAACUGGCCUCCAGUCUGGUUUGUCACUAGCAGUGGUCGUGACAGCUGUACAGGGAAUAGAAGCUAAGCAUAGAUUGUAAUCAUCUAUGAUGUGGGAAUAUUGGCAUCUGGCUUGUAUAUCAAUCUGUGGGAAUACAAGGGACCUUGUAAGCAAGUGGACAGUUCAACAGCUGGAGAUAUGGCAGGGGGGAUGGCUUUAGCUCA